rnacentral:rRNA from 1 species
UAAUACCGCAUAACGUCGCAAAACCAAAGAGGGGGACCUUCGGGCCUCUUGCCAUCAAAUGAGCCCAAAUGGGAUUAACUAAUAAGUGGAGUAACGGCUCACCUAGGCAACGAUCCCUAACUGGUCUGAGAAGAUGACCAACCACACUGGAACUGAAACACGGACCAAACUCCUACGGGAGGCAACAGUGGGGAAUAUUGCACAAUGGGCGCAAAACUGAUGCAACCAUGCCGCGUGUAUGAAAAAAGCCUUCGGGUUGAAAAAAACUUUCAGCGGGGAGGAAGGCGAUGAAGAUAAUAACCUCAAAAAUUGACAUUACCCGCAAAAAAAACACCAAAUAACUCCGAGACAAAAACCGCGGAAAUACGGAGGGUGCAAGAGAAAAUCAAAAUUACAGAGCGUAAAGCGCACGCAAGCGGUCUGACAAGUCAGAUGAGAAAUCCACGGGCUCAACCUGGAAAAUGAAUUAGAAACUGGCAAGCUAGAGUCUUGUAGAGGGGGGAAAAAUUCCAAGUGUAGCGGAGAAAUGCAAAAAAAUCAGGAAGAAUACCGGAGGAAAAAAAGGCCCCAUGGACAAAAACUGACACUCAAAGCAAAAGCGUGAAGAGCAAAAAGGAAUAAAUACCCUGAAAAUCCACACCGAAAAAAAUGACAACUUGGAGGUGUGCACUUGAAG